rnacentral:misc_RNA from 1 species
AAAGGUAUUGUCGAGUUCAAUAGAUAAUUCUAUCGACUCGAAAUCCUGAUCAUCCCUUAUGUGCAUUUUUAUUAUGCUUUGGUUGGUCGAAAGACUUACCAAAAGUUUAUCUUACUGCCUUAUUUUUUGUCUGAAGAAAUAAAUAUAAUUUGAAAUA